GAAAGCGUGGGGAGCGAACAGGAUUAGAUACCCUGGUAGUCCACGCCCUAAACGUUGGGCGCUAGGUGUGGGGGUCUUCCACGGCGUCUGUGCCGCAGCUAACGCAUUAAGCGCCCCGCCUGGGGAGUACGGCCGCAAGGCUAAAACUCAAAGGAAUUGAC
rnacentral:rRNA from 1 species